rnacentral:rRNA from 1 species
GACGUAGGGCGCGAGCGUUGUCCGGAUUUAUUGGGCGUAAAGAGCUCGUAGGCGGCUUGUCACGUCGGUUGUGAAAGCCCGGGGCUUAACCCCGGGUCUGCAGUCGAUACGGGCAGGCUAGAGUGUGGUAGGGGAGAUCGGAAUUCCUGGUGUAGCGGUGAAAUGCGCAGAUAUCAGGAGGAACACCGGUGGCGAAGGCAGCACUCGUGGGACGGUACUGACGGCUGAGACGCGAAAGCGUGGGGAGCAAACAGG